rnacentral:misc_RNA from 1 species
GAUGAAGAACGUAGCGAAAUGCGAUACGUAAUGUGAAUUGCAAAUUCAGUGAAUCAUCGAGUCUUUGAACGCACAUUGCGCCCCCUGGUAUUCCGGGGGGCAUGCCUGUCCGAGCGUCAUUAUAACCCCUCAAGCUCAGCUUGGUGUUGGGGCCUGCUGCACUGGCAGCCCUUAAAAUCAGUGGCGGCGCCAUCUGGCUCUAAGCGUAGUAAUUCUUCUCGCUAUGGAGUCCUGGUGGAUGCUUGCCAUCAACCCCCAAUUUUUCUAUGGUUGACCUCGGAUCAGGUAGGGAUACCCGCUGAACUUAAGCAUAUCAAUAAGCGGAGGA